GCAAGUCGAACGGUAACAGGAAGCAGCUUGCUGCUUUGCUGACGAGUGGCGGACGGGUGAGUAAUGUCUGGGAAACUGCCUGAUGGAGGGGGAUAACUACUGGAAACGGUGGCUAAUACCGCAUAACGUCGCAAGACCAAAGAGGGGGACCUUCGGGCCUCUUGCCAUCAGAUGUGCCCAGAUGGGAUUAGCUUGUUGGUGAGGUAACGGCUCACCAAGGCGACGAUCCCUAGCUGGUCUGAGAGGAUGACCAGCCACACUGGAACUGAGACACGGUCCAGACUCCUACGGGAGGCAGCAGUGGGGAAUAUUGCACAAUGGGCGCAAGCCUGAUGCAGCCAUGCCGCGUGUAUGAAGAAGGCCUUCGGGUUGUAAAGUACUUUCAGCGGGGAGG
rnacentral:rRNA from 1 species